rnacentral:rRNA from 1 species
CGACCGGCGCACGGGUGAGUAACGCGCAUCCAACCUGCCUUACACUCUUGGACAGCCUUCUGAAAGGGAGAUUAAUACAAGAUGUUAUCAUGAGUAAGCAUUUUCACAUGAUUAAAGGUUUACCGGUGUAAGAUGGGGAUGCGUUCCAUUAGAUAGUAGGCGGGGUAACGGCCCACCUAGUCUUCGAUGGAUAGGGGUUCUGAGAGGAAGGUCCCCCACAUUGGAACUGAGACACGGUCCAA